rnacentral:snRNA from 1 species
CUAGCCCCGAAAAUGGAUG